UAAGGGAGAAUUCUUCACACAGGUAGUCUGAAAGAGUUAAAAAAAGUUUUCACCUACAUGAAAGGUUUGAAAAUGGUAACAUCUGAAGAGCAAAUAUAAAAGCAUCUAAGUAGAGGUGUUGUUAAUCUUGGUACAAAGUGAAAGGUAUUGUGUGACAGUUCUGGAAAUAUAAUUGGAGAAGCCCAUUGCCUUCAAAUAUGUUGUGAAAUAUUAGUUUCAAGGAUUGGCUUCAACAAAGGGUCUUGUUAAAUAUGUGUGGGAAAGCUGAUAUAAAUAAAACAAGCAGGCUUUUCUUUUCCUUGGGAUUUCUCAGACCUCACAUACUUAUGUGUAUUAUAAAUCCCAGGAGAAGUCAAAGUGUACAGAGUUUUCCAGACUUAUUUAGCAACAGAACCCUUUUUUGUGAAAUGUAUUUUAGGGACUAAUGUUUCAUGGCACACGCUUAGGGAAAUACUAAAGGAGUAGGAAAUGGGUUAUUAGGGGAUAAAUUGAUUCUGUGACAUUAAUAGCAAUUGUGUUUGGAGUUAUUUAGGGUGUGUUAAUUUCAAUACUUGUGUUAAAAUCCAUAUGAAAGUUUUAGGAGAAUUGCUAAUUAAAAUAACACAUUCAUUGCUCUAUUUAUAUUCAUAUGUUAACUUGACAUUUUCUUAGUCUUCAUUUUUUCAUCUUUUGGAAUUGGUAAGUUAACUGAUUCGUUGCAAGUUUUUCUUAGAAAAAAUGUAGGUAAAUAGAUAUUUGAAAAACAUGUUCUAUGAACAUUUAAAAAUUAAGUGUUGGAGUAUGUAGCUUUUGUAUUGAAAGUUAUUAUGGUUUUUGUAAAUUGAAAGGAAAUAAUUUUAUGUUUAUUUUGAAAGUGGAAAGAAAAUACUUCCUAUGUAUAGGUUUCCAUCUCUCUCUUUGUCCUUUAUCUUUGAACUUUUUACAUGAUAUUCCAAGUUUAAAUUCUAGUAUUUCAAAAGAUUUUUCUCUUGCCUUUUAACUAGAUCUUUCUUUUGGAGAAAACUUAUUUUAAAAUGUGUGUGUAUGUGUGUAUGUGUGUACAUGUGUUUGCCUUUUAAGUUGAUACCUUUUCCAUUGGCAUUUUAACCAAAGGAACACUUGACUAUUCAUGCUACUGGGGGGAAAAGUUUUAAUAGAAAUUAGCCUGUUAUGCACAGCUUAUUUCAAACCAAAGACUUCGCCCUUAAUGCAGGUAGAUUUUAUAUGUAGAGAGGCACUAAUCUAAGGGGGAAAGGAAGCUCUCUUACACGAUUAGCGGUGUGGUUUCUUUUUGCCUAGAUAAGGUAGGCGAGGUCUGCCUCUGGUAUUCUCUGGUAUGGUCUAGGAUCACUUUGGUGAAUGAGAAACCUGUUUCAGGGUCUAACUCACAUAAUUUCCUUAAAAUCCUGCUAAAGUGCUGAAUGAAUACUUGACAAAUGAUGAGUAGCUCUGCAAUAUAGAAGAGAGUGGAUCACUGGGAAUUUAAUUAUAUUCACAGAUUUUAUUUUAUACGGUAGACAUGAAAGCAAAUUUAUUGCUUUAUUUCAUAAUUUACUUGAAGGUAAAUACCCUCAUAUACUAUUUCCUUUUAACUUUUUCAUACUUUAUGAUGAUUAUGUUGCCCAUUAAAAACCUAGCAAUUAUUACUAAAUCUAGAGUUUUAAUUAGGCUGUUUUCAAUACAGGCUAAGUUAAAUUGUAGUCAAUGCUAGUAUAAAAAUUUACUAUACAGAAAAGUAUUUCCAGCCUCAACUAGUGGUUUUAAAUUCUGUUAAUGUGCAACAUUAUGUGUUUCAAGGCUUGACUUUUAUCUGUAAUACUUGAAGAUGAUGAACCACUCAGGCAAGAUGCAAAUAAACUGACUUUAGUAGACUUAUCUACAAAUUAAUGGCUGAAUGUGAGCACGGAAGGAGAGACUUUCUUCGCAGAAGCCUUUUUGAAAUUACUCUAAAAUGUUAAGUUUGAAAAUUUGAGUAGUAGUCACAGGUGGUAGGAUGACAUCCAGAGACUAGUUGAUACUUUUUUGAUGGUUCAGAAUGUUGUCUGAGAGUCCCAGAUAGAAGGUGGUAUUUAGAGUUUGAAGACACUAAGCAGUCAUGCAUUAGCUUAAUGGUUGUCUGGUUUGUACCAGAAUUUCUGGCCAGAUUUAUACUAGAAAUGUAAAAGUAAAUGUGAAUCCGAUUUCUUUUUUUUUCUUUUUUAAGUAAUAAACUGAAAACAUUUCUACAACUAGAACUAAAAAAGGAAAUUUGUCCUUUCUGAUAGAAGAACACAUGUGGAGAGUGUGGGCAGGUAGAAGAAGUUAGGACCUGCGAAGUCAACUGAAGCGAGAGUGAUAGAAUUGAGAGCACACACAUGUCAGAUUGUUUGAGUUGAGUCCAACAGAGUGGAUAACACUGUGACCUGACUACCUGUGGCUCCCAGUUUGGGGUCACUAGACUUUUAGGCACUCUGGAAAAGUUGUAAUUGAGGUCUUCAGAAAGUCUAAAAAAGCAGAAGACAUGUAUUUCUGCAUAAUACUGCACCAGCUAACAUAAACAUGUUUCUUUGACUUUGUCUGGAUCUAUAUCCAUUCACUUUGUAGACAGUAGGUAUGUCUAUCAUGUUGACCAGAAGUUCUGGUAUGUAUUAUCAGUAAAUUAAAAACUGGAAAAAUAUUGAAAACACUUUUCAAGGAAUGUUUUUCGUUAAUCAGAAAUUUUAAAAUUUGUGUCCACUGGAGAAAAAUAUUAGAGCCCUUCGUGUGAACUGAAUAAUAUCCUUGAGACCUGGAGACCUUCAUAACUACCUGAAGGCAAAUUGAAAAUUGAAGUGGAGGUAACAGUUAAUUUCAGCUAUCUUCACAUAACAGUGCUUCAGUAACAGACUUGGAAGGAAAGUGAAGUGUUACUAGAAAGAGGGUGUUUUCUUACAAUGUAAUAGAUAUUAAGUAUUAGCCAUAUAAUUUGUAUGUAGAUAGAAGCAAUGGAUUAGGGAAGGAUGUUUAAGCUGUGAGUAAAAAAGAAUCUUGUACCUGAUAGACCAGCAAGCAUAGUUAAGAAACGUGGAAUAUUUGCUCACUACUUUGACAUCUUAUAGAGUACUGGUGGUAUGUUAAUUAAAGCCCAGGUACACUACUAUAUAAGCCAGCACAGGAAACCUUUAAAAGGGUAUUACUUUGAGACAUCUAAACACUCGGAUGAUUAGAAGUGGUUAUAGUAAAUGACUAAAAAUAAGUUGGAUUAUUCUUCUUUCUGCUUCAUGAAAAGCAAUGAUACAGAAAAUGAAAAAAUGACAGAUAAUUAGGUAAAUGAUGAGGGUAGUGAGUUGGCAUUGUCUUUCUUUGAUAGAUAUAUCAGUGACCAUAAAGUAUUAACUUAAAAGAGAUAUCUUUAAAGGUAGCCACAGGUUUUUAUAAAUAUAUUUUCUGCUAUUGAAUUUGGAAACGGAUGUUGACAGUUCAGUUGUGUUACUUGCCAUUUUGAUGUUCUCUCACUUGUCAUACAGAAAUAUCAACUAGUCUCAUCCUUUGAUUUAUAGUAAGUCAUCCAGUUUCAUUAUUGUUGGCAUGGCCUAAUGUAUUAAAACUAAGAGUCAAACAAAAAUUCCCCAAAUUAUAUGCUAAUACUUUUCCUUAAUUUAAAAUGCUUUACUAUAACAGUAGCUAUCCUAUUUGUAUUUGCUUCUUUUCUGGAAAACUUUUAUUUAUAGAAGUCUUUGGCUUAAUAAAGUAAGUUAUUAAGCCCCUGGAUGAGUCUACUAAUUAAAAUUUGAAUGUAAUGUUAACCAGUAUUUCAAGAAACUUCCUAGUUGUAUUAUAUAAAAUGUAAUAUUUUGGGCAAUUAUUUUAAAAAGCUCUGAAGCUAUUUGAAACUCCCAAUGUAGGUUAUUUUAAUUAGUAUUAGUUUUCCUAGCUCUUUCUAUUUUUAUAACUUGGUAAAAAUUGAGUUCAUUGUUCUCCCAGAACACUCUUCCUGUGCAGAUUAAAUAGUGACUUCAUUCACUGAGGUGUCUAAUUGAGAAAAUAUUAGGCUUGUGACAUUUUCAAUUCUUUGUUGUCUUUUUCUCUGUUGUCAUUUCUUGAGGGCUAUUAUCUAAUAGGCCAGCAAUUAAAAAUACUAUACAGAAAAUGACAUGUAUUGGGUAUUCUGCCACAUGUAAAUACAUCGUGAUAAAAAUUACAUUAGUUAGCAUGUCAUGAUUUUUAAGUGGAAUGAAUUAUAAACAUAUAAAUGUUGAUUGUGUUGUACACAGGUCCAAACUAGGUUUUGUUUCAUUUUAAAUUUUCAUAAUAACUGUAUUAUUUCCAAAUCCUAUGUUCUUUUAUAGUGCUUUUGCUCUAGUAAUUGAUAUAUUCUUAUAUUCUUAGAGGCUAUUUUUACUGAAUGUCAAAACAGCUCAUAAAAAGUGAAAAUUCAGUCAGACUACUUAUUUUAUGUUGUAUAAAGUUAAAACAGUGCUUCAAACAUUAUUUCUUAAUUUGCAAAAAAAAAAAAAAAAAAGCUAAAUUUUAGUCAGAUAAGCUUGUAUGUAUAGGCAUGUAGAA